rnacentral:rRNA from 1 species
AUGUUUGCAUGGUAUCUUCGUCGCUGAGUCAUUCUUACUAAAGAUAAUAACCUUAUUAAGAGGAAUUGGCAUGGAAGUCCGCAAUGUGUCUUUUGUCACAAUGAUGAGACAAUAAAACAUUUAUUCUUCCAAUGCAAAUUGACUCGUUCUAUAUGGCCAGCCAUCCAAAUAGAUUCUGGCUUGUAUUCUCCUUGUAGUGUUGCUAAUGUAUUUGGCAAUUGGUUACAUGUGAUUGAUCACAUGUUUAGAACUUUUCUCAAGGUGGGAGGGCUUACCGUUAUUUGGUCGCUUUGGCUAUGUAGAAAUGAUAAGGUUUUUAACGAUAAAAGUACUUCUCUGAUGCAGGUUAUCUACAGAUGUACCGGGAAUCUUCGUUUAUGGUCCUCUCUACAACGUGUGGAGAAUCGAGACCUGUUUACGAAGGUGUGUACACGAUUGGAGGCUACGACGAGGGAUACUUUUACCCAACAUGGGUGGCAACAUGAUCUUAGGAUUGGCCCCCUCCGCUUUAGGCGUUAUAUGGACUGUGAAUGUUUUUGUAUUUCACUUUUUUGUUUUUUAUUUUGUGUGAGAAGACCUUAUUUGGCUGUGUGCGUCUUAUUUAUGCAGAGGUCGGGUGUAAUGCUUAAAUCUUUUAUGUAA